rnacentral:rRNA from 1 species
AUUAGAUGAGCCUAUAUUAGAUUAGCUAGUUGGUGGAGUAAUAGCCUACCAAGGCAAUGAUCUAUAGCUGAUCUGAGAGGAUGAUCAGCCACACUGGAACUGAGAUACGGUCCAGACUCCUACGGGAGGCAGCAGUGGGGAAUAUUGGACAAUGGGCGAAAGCCUGAUCCAGCCAUGCCGCAUGAGUGAAGAAGGCCUUUGGGUUGUAAAGCUCUUUUAGUGAGGAAGAUAAUGACGGUAAUCACAGAAGAAGUCCUGCGUAACUCCGUGCCAGCAGCCGCGGUAAUACGGAGAGGGUUAGCGUUAUUCGGAAUUAUUGGGCGUAAAGGGCGCGUAGGCUGAUUAAUAAGUUAAAAGUGAAAUCCCGAGGCUUAACCUUGGAAUUGCUUUUAAAACUAUUAAUCUAGAGAUUGAAAGAGGAUAGAGGAAUUCCUGAUGUAGAGGUAAAAUUCGUAAAUAUUAGGAGGAACACCAGUGGCGAAGGCGUCUAUCUGGUUCAAAUCUGACGCUGAAGCGCGAAGGCGUGGGGAGCAAACAGGAUUAGAUACCCUGGUAGUCCACGCUGUAAACGAUGAAUGUUAAAUAUGGGAAGUUUA